GCCGGGGUGGCGGAACUGGCAGACGCACAGGACUUAAAAUCCUGCGGUGAGUGAUCACCGUACCGGUUCGAAUCCGGUCCUCGGCACCA
rnacentral:tRNA from 1 species